CACCCCCGACCUCUCAAUUCCAAACACACCUGUGACCCCACCGAGCGCCCUGCAAAGGGCUCGCCUCUAUAUACUCUGCAUGUCUCAUAUAAUGUCAAAUUGUUUGCCUUGAAUACUCAAUAAAAUACAACUUUCAACAACGGAUCUCUUGGGUGUCAGGGGGGAGAAGAACACAGCGAAAUGCGAUAAGUAAUGUGAAUUGCAGAUUUUCAGUGAAUCAUCGAAUCUUUGAACGCACCUUGCGCCCCUUGGUAUUCCGAGGGGGGGGGGCUGUUUGAGUGUCAUUCAAACCAGGGGGGCCGUCGAUCUUUGAUCGGUCGGAGGCUUGGACUUUGGAGCGUGCUGGCCCAAUUGAUGUUUUGCUCCUCUUUAAAUGCAUCAGCGGAAAUUUUUGUUGGGGGGGGCCCGACACCCCCCCAAUCCUGUUGCGUCGUCAGGGUCUGGUUGGGGCUCGCUUAUAAUCGUCUUCG
rnacentral:misc_RNA from 1 species